rnacentral:lncRNA from 1 species
CCCACACUGAGCUCGAACUUUCGAUCCUCCCGCCUCAGCUUCCGAGGGAGCUAGGAUUGCAGGCGUGUGCCACCGCGCAGGGCUGAGCCCCCAGGCCCCCUCAGUCAGACUCUUGGAGUCCGCCGUCCUGGCCCCAUCUAGGGCUCAGUUCUUUGAUCCUUUGAAGGAUGUCUUGACUUUCUUGGAAAAAACAGUCUGCAUCGAAAGGCAGAGGCUCAAUUCGGUGCUCAUAGACAAAGAGGGUCAAGACGGAAACGAAUCAAACAGUAUUGGGAAAAGGCAACCGCCUCUGAAGUCUCGCAGGGUUCUAAUCGGAUACAAGAAACCUGGAAAAACCGUUUAGUGAAAAUGGCACAUAGCCUGUCCUUCAGUUACAAAUCCCAUUUUUUCUGGUGGCGGGGAUGGUGGGCCGUGUGUGUUGAGAGAGGAGAGUGCAAGUUCGUGCAGCUGGGACUUCUCCCUUAUAUCCAGACCAUGUCUUGAAAUCGGAAAAGGCCACAGCUACAGAAAUACAUCGGCCUUCAUGAGACCAGUGGUUUUUCAGUGCAGUCACUGUGACUCAGUCUGUUGAAGCCUCUGCAACCACACAGAGACAGAAAGCUGCAGGGUCUCAGUAUAAAACUACAGACCGAGUGGAAUCAGUAGUGCAGAAAGAAUGAGUGUCCUCGAGUAGAUUGUCUACAGACAGACACUGGAGUGCAAAAUGUUCUUCUGCCCUUUCUAUGGUGUCUCACUGGGCUACAUUUUCCUGAUAUGCUGGCAACGCUGGGUUAGGUGAUCAUCUAUCUGAUGUGAAAUUCUUCUGCAAAUCCCACACCCUUCAAGACAUCUUCCCAUUCUAUGUAUACUGGACAAUAAGUCUUGAUUUCUGUCUCUAUUAGUUGUGGGGUUUUUUCCCAGUAUAUCCAAACAAAGUUUUCUAAUUCCAGCUAAAUAAAAUGGGAAAUAAGGGCAGAAAACAAAAACAAAAAAUUUUAAUUCAUCUCUAAGAGUAAGGUAAAUGUGCAUUAUACUAUGUGUGGGGAUUCAGUUGUUAUCAGUACAAAUUUUGCCAAUGACUCAGAUCAUUAUCCAAGAGAAUAAAACUGUUAGGAGUUAUAAAAGAAUGUCAAGAUCUUUUAAGUUAAUGUUUUUCCUGAAUGAGAUACGUUAAUCACUAAUCUGUAUAAAAUUUGAAUGAUUGCAUAUUUUAAAUUUUAAUUAUUAUGUAUUUUUAGUGAGUGUUAGAAAGAUGUAACUAGUGCACAGAACCUGAUUUUUCCCCGGCAGUUUUAGUUAGGAUGAAGCAAAAGUAGGUGGACGCUGAGACUGGUAACCUCUCUAUUUUCCUUGCCUUUCCCUAGCCCGUAAGUCAUGUUCAUAUACUUCAUAUAUGACUGGUUUUCCUGAAGAAGCUCAGUGUGAAAGACUAUAUUCUGUAUGAUUUCAUUUAUCUAAAAUUUGAGAAAAGGCAAAACUACUGUGUGAGGAAAUCAGUGAUCACCAGAGGCUGAGUUUAGGGGAAGCAGAUUGACUGGAAAUGGGUAUGAGGAAAUGUUUUGGGGUGAUGGAAAUGUAAUUAUACAAGCAUAAACGUAUGUCAACGUUCAUUGAAUUCUGUAGUCAAAAUUAGGAAUUACAUAUGAGUGAUGUAUAAAUUGUAUCUCAAUAAAACUGAACUAAAAAGACCUUUCUUCUUGAAAUGAUUUUAAAUUUUCCACCUCCUCCCACCUUGUUUUCUUAUAUUUCCAUUUGCACUUUUUAUUGUUUCCAUUUUACUUCAC